rnacentral:tRNA from 1 species
GCUAAUGUGGCAGAGUUAUGCGUCAAAUUUAAGCUUUGGAGACUUAUUUAGCU